rnacentral:rRNA from 1 species
AUGGUAAUAGGAUUCCUCGAAGUGGAUGCUUACGACCACCGGGUCAAGAGUAUAUGCAUGGUAUCACCAAGGUUGCGGGUCUCCUCAACCAAGAUGGAACUGAUUGGGAUACGGCAAGGAUUGAUAACAUGUUCACAUAAUCGGAUGUUGCGGAUAUCAAACAAAUUGUUGGGAGGACCGGGAACGGAUAACUUCUUGGCCUGGAAUUUUACGAACAAUGGAGUCUUUACUGUUCGGUUGGCUUAUUAUCUUCGGAUGGACAUGAAAAAAUGCAAGUCUGAUCAGCCUGAGCCUUCGAGCUCUGUAGACCGACAUAAGGGUUUUAUGGCGUUGUGGGGUACAAAUGCCCCGAACAAAGCUAAGGUCCAUUUAUGGAGGAUGAUCAGGAAUGGAGAAGAGACAAUCUUCCACAGGUUAUGGUCGUGUCACCACACGACUCUUUUCUGGCAGGAGCUGCAAUCUGAGACAGGGGCGGUCAUAGCAUCUCCACCAGCCCCAAUUGUUACCAAUGGAGCACUGGCUCGUUGGCUUUCGAACUUGUUAGCUGGUGCGGGUGAUGAUGAGAGGGAAACAAUGAUCCAUGCAGUAUACGGUCUUUGGCUUGCGAGAAAUGAGGUGAGGGAUGGAAAACAAAUAGUGCAUCCACAUGAAAUAAUGGUUUCUAUUUUACGACACAUGCAGGAAUGGAAGUUCUCUCAUUAG